rnacentral:rRNA from 1 species
UACGUAGGCAGCAAGCGUUGUUCGGAGUUACUGGGCGUAAAGGGUGUGUAGGCGGUUGGAUAAGUGUGGCGUGAAAUCUCCCGGCUCAACUGGGAGGGUGCGCUACAAACUGUCUGACUAGAGUGUGGGAUGGGAAAGUGGAAUUCCUGGUGUAGCGGUGAAAUGCGUAGAUAUCAGGAGGAACACCUGUGGUGUAGACAGCUUACUGGACCACUUCUGACGCUGAGACACGAAAGCGUGGGUAGCAAACAGG